AUGUACACACCUCAACAAAAUGCAGUUGUUGAGAGGAAGAACCGGACGCUCAUCGAAAUAGCGAGAAUGAUGCUUGAUGAGUACAAGAUGCCAAAGCAUUUUUGGGCGGAAGCGGUUGAGACAGCUUGUCAUGCAACAAAUCGCUUGUAUCUUCAUAAGCUACUCGGCAAGACGGCAUACGAGCUCCUCGCCAGUAACAAACCCCAAGUUGGAUACUUUCGAGUAUUCGGCUCAAAGUGCUACAUUCUUGAUAAGCAUCGUCGCUCUAAAUUUGCUCCUAAGUCUCAUGAAGGAUUCCUACUUGGUUAUGGCUCAAACUCUCACACUUACCGUGUCUACAAUAAUUUCACCCGAAAGGUUGAAGAGACGGUAGAUGUGAAGUUUGAUGAAUCUAAUGGCUCGCAAGUAGAGCAAUUGCCAAUUGAUGUAGGAGACAAAGAUCCUUUGGAAGCAAUACAAGACUUGUCUAUUAGCAAGGUUCGUCCAAUGGAGGUGAAGGUGAGUACCUCGUCCAUCCAAGUGGAAGCUUCUACCUCACGACAAGGUGAACCAAGAGUUGACACGGAAGCAUCCACAAGUGGGACACACCAAGACAAAGAAAACGAGGAAGCACACCAAGAUGAACAUCAACAACCUCCUUCUCCACCACGAUAA
rnacentral:rRNA from 1 species